rnacentral:rRNA from 1 species
UACAUGGGGUGCUAACGUUGCUCGGAAUUAUUGGGCGUAAAGCGCGCGUAGGCGGUCUUCUAAGUCGGAUGUGAAAUACCCUGGCUCAACUGGGGAAGUGCAUCCGAGACUGGGGGGCUGGAGUACCAAAGAGGGUCGCGGAAUUCCCGGUGUAGAGGUGAAAUUCGUAGAUAUCGGGAGGAACACCGGCGGCGAAGGCGGCGACCUGGGUGGAUACUGACGCUGAGGCGCGAAAGCGUGGGGAG